rnacentral:sRNA from 1 species
AAGAUAUCGAUCGCAUAACCGCCUGCUGGCUCUAUAUCCGACAUGGGCAUUUCUGACUGUCCAGCAAUAUACGACAGAGCGAGGAUAGGUUGAGCCCAUCAUAUAAUUGUUAGUAGCUGAUAGCUUGGCAACUUAUGGGGUGCGGAUAUAGUCUUAAUUCCCGUCGAGCCUGCCUCGUUCGUUGGGACUCAGGACGAACGAAGACGGAUACACCUCCCAGACAGAAUAUGCCACCUUGAUGCGCCGACUAAAUAUAGGACUAAUGCAGGCAGCGUUAGAUAGGGCAUGAUAGUUGGAUAUGCGGACACGGCAAAGAUUGUGCACGGAUGGAUAGUUGGGAAGAAGGCCAAAUGGGGAAUGAGGAAUGGAUGGAGGAAAGUGUCGGACAUGACCGGCGGUCCAUCAGCAGCGAGUCCAUCACAUUUUGCUGCAGCAUGCUCGUACCACAUAUUCAUGGUAUGCAUGGAUGAGGUGUGAGUAAGGGAUGUAUGCAUAGGUAUGGAAGUGGAAUGAGCAUGUUCGAUGCAUAUAAAGAUAUUGUUGG